CCAAACACCAGAAAAAUUUACCUGAACACAGCAGAAAAUUUAACCCAAAAACAGUAGUAUAUUUACACAGAAACAGCAAAAUAUUUAACCAAAAAACAGCAGCAAAUGAAGCCCAGAACACCAAAAAAACUUACCUGGAAACAGCAAAAAAUAUAACCCAAAAACAGCAGUAAAUUUAUCCAAAAACAGCAAACAAUUUAACUCAAACAAAAGCAGCCAAUUUACCCAAAAACAGCAGAAAAUUUAACCUAAAAACAGCUGCAAAUGAAGCCCAAAAUACCAGAAAAAUUUAACCAAAAACGGCAGCAAAUCAUCCCAAAUGCAGCAGAAAAUUUAUUCAAAAACAGCAGAAAAUUUAACUGAAAAACAGCAGUUUAUUUACCCAAAAACAGCAAAAUAUUUAACCCAAAACCAGCAGCAAAUGAAGCCCAAAACACCAAAAACAUUUACCUUAAAACAGUAGAAAAUAUAACCCAAAAACAGCAGUAAAUUUAUCCAAAAACAGCAAACAAUUUAACUCAAACAAAAGCAGCCAAUUUACCCAAAAACAGCAGAAAAUUUAACCUAAAAACAGCUGCAAAUGAAGCCCAAAAUACCAGAAAAAUUUAACCAAAAACGGCAGCAAAUCAUCCCAAAUGCAGCAGAAAAUUUAUUCAAAAACAGCAGAAAAUUUAACUGAAAAACAGCAGUUUAUUUACCCAAAAACAGCAAAAUAUUUAACCCAAAACCAGCAGCAAAUGAAGCCGUUCGGGAAUCAUACAUCCCUUAUCUGUGAGUCGAGAAAGAUUUCCAUCGCUGACGAACUUGAAGCAGAAAGCUAAAUUCAAAGAGAGGCUGCUGUACCGUACAUCCGCCUUGGCCGUACAGCAGAUUUAACCCAAAAACAGCAGCAAAUGAAGCCCAAAACACCAAAAACAUUUACCUUAAAACAGUAGAAAAUAUAACCCAAAAACAGCAGUAAAUUUAUCAAAAAACAGCAAAAAAAUAAACUAAAAAACAGCAGCCACCUUACCCAGAAACAGUAGAAAAUUAAAUCUAAAAAUAGCAGCAAAUGAAGCUUUAUCAAUAGGAAAGUUUAAAAUAUUUUUUUUCUGAAGCCAAAGCAAGAAAUCUAUAAAGUCCUUGUGAUCUUCAACUUGAGAAUUGUUACUCAUCCUAUUCUCAUGUUCUUGAAUGACUACCUCAAGAAAAUUAUCAACUCCUUGAUCACUAAAUUUUUCUACUCUAACAUCACGAAAAGAAUAAUGAAUCCUUUUGUUACUUAAAAGUUGUACAACAAAUAAGAUUUGAACUUUUCUUAAGUACUCACCAUAAGGUGUCAUAGAGACAUCUACACAACCGUUUAAAAGUUUUACAAAUGGGGUUAAUUUUGGUUGAUUGCAAAGAUUACAUUUCUAACGAUCUCACAGGCAGCAUCAGCAGAAGAGACAACAAGCACUGGCACUUUGCCUAAGUGAAGCAACAUCAGGGGGCCAUAGCAUUGUGCCAAAGCACCAAGUGAGCAAUGAGGGAACAAGCCAAGUUGGUGAAGGUUUCCAAUGAUUGGGAGGGUUGGGGGAGAAGGUGGUAGUGAUUUUUUGGUGCUAAGUGGUUGGAUAAGAAACCAUUUGAAAAGGACAAAUACGGCAAAGAUGCAGGCUGCAAUUGUGAUAAAGGAUUGGAAGUUUAACAAUUGCUGGAAAACAGACAUCUUAUUACAAAUUAUCAUAAGCGUGAACUUGUACUAAAUUAUGAUCUAUUAGUAGCAGUGAAUUAUUACAAAUUUCUUCCCCAAAAUUGAGAUAUAUAUACACUAGAAAAUGGAGAGUAUGAAGUUACAAUUCACUCAAAGACUUUGAGAAAGAUGUCUAUAUGGUCCAGCCGACAUAGUGACAGAUUGCCAAGCAAACAGCAGAAAAUAUAGCCCAAAAACAGCAGUGAAUUUAUCCAAAAACAGCAGUAUAUUUACCCAAAAACAACAAAAUAUUUAACUAAAAAACAGCAGCAAAUGAAGCCCAGAACACCCAAAAAAGUUACCUGGAAACAGCAGAAAAUAUAACCCAAAAACAGCAGUAAAUUUAUCCAAAAACAGCCAACAAUUUAACUGAAAAACAGCAGCCAAUUUACCCAGAAACAGCAGAAAAUUUAACCUAAAAACAGCAGCAAAUGAAGCCCAAAACACCAGAAAAUUUUAACCACAAACAGCAGCAAAUCAUCCCAAAUACAGCAGAAAAUUUAUCCAAAAACAGCAGAAAAUUUAACUAAAAAAUAGCAGUAUAUUUAC
rnacentral:lncRNA from 1 species